rnacentral:tRNA from 1 species
AUUUAAAUAAUUUAAAUAAAAUAUUGAUUUGUGGUAUCAAAAAUAUGAUUAUGUUCAUUUUAAAUU